rnacentral:misc_RNA from 1 species
GAUGAAGAACGUAGCGAAAUGCGAUAAGUAGUGUGAAUUGCAGAAUUCAGUGAAUCAUCGAAUCUUUGAACGCACAUUGCGCCCCUUGGUAUUCCAUGGGGCAUGCCUGUUCGAGCGUCAUUUGUACCUUCAAGCUUGGCUUGGUGUUGGGUGUUUGUCUCGCCUUUGCGUGUAGACUCGCCUUAAAAUAAUUGGCAGCCGGCGUAUUGAUUUCGGAGCGCAGUACAUCUCGCGCUUUGCACUCAUAACGACAGCGUCCAAAAGUACAUUUUACACUCUUGACCUCGGAUCAGGUAGGGAUACCCGCUGAACUUAAGCAUAUCAAUAAGCGGAGGA